rnacentral:rRNA from 1 species
AUUGGUAACGUACCCCGGUCACUGGGAUAGCGUCGGGAGCUUGCUCCCUUUGCGAAAGUGACGGUAAUACCAGAUGACGUUCCUGGGUGGCAGCACUCGGGAAUCAAAGGUGGGGACCUUCGGGCCUGCCGGACUGGGAGCGGCCUAUUUCCUAUCAGCUUGUUGGUGAGGUAACGGCUCACCAAGGCGACGACGGGUAGCCGGACUGAGAGGUUGGACGGCCACAUCGGGACUGAGACACUGCCCGGACACCUACGGGUGGCUGCAGUAACGAAUAUUCCGCAAUGGGCGAAAGCCUGACGGAGCAAUGCCGCGUGGAGGACGAAGUCCCUCGGGAUGUAAACUCCUUUUAGGGUCGUGAAAACAAGGGGUGUCAAUAGCACUCUGCGUUGAUCUAUCCCAGAAAAAGCCUCGGCUAAUUCCGUGCCAGCAGCCGCGGUAAGACGGGAGAGGCAAGCGUUGUUCGGAAUCACUGGGCUUAAAGCGCGUGUAGGCGGCCUCGCAAGUACUUUGUGAAAUCCCCCGGCUCAACCGGGGAAUGGCAAGGUAUACUGCGGGACUUGAGGCGGGUAGGGGUGCCUGGAACUCUAGGUGGAGCGGUGAAAUGCGUAGAUAUCUAGAGGAACGCCUGUGGCGAAAGCGGGGCACUGGGCCCGUCCUGACGCUGAGACGCGAAAGCGUAGGUAGCAAACGGGAUUAGAUACCCCGGUAGUCUACGCCGUAAACGAUGCGCACAAGGUUCAUCGGUCUCUGACGAUUGGUGGGCCGGAACAAAAGUGAUAAGUGCGCCGCCUGGGGAGUACGGCCGCAAGGCUAAAACUCAAAGGAAUUGACGGGGGCUCACACAAGCGGUGGAGCAUGUGGCUUAAUUCGAGGCAACGCGAAGAACCUUACUCGGG